AGAGCGCAGGGUGGAUGCCUUGGCACUGAGAGCCGAUGAAAGACGUGAUAAGCUGCGAUAAGCUGCGGCAAGGAGCAAAUAUCCGAUGAACCGCAGAUUUCUGAAUGGGGAAACCUGGCUGAGCAAACCUCAGUCGUCAUAUACUGAAUACAUAGGUAUAUGUCGGGAACCUCCUGAACUGAAACAUCUAAGUAGGGAGAGGAAGAGAAAGAAACAUCGAUUCCGUAAGUAGCGGCGAGCGAACGCGGAUGAGCCCAAACCGGAGUGCGUGCAUUCCGGGGUAUGGACUGCGAUAUGGUAGUGUAAAUGGUAGUAGAAGGGUCUGGGAAGUCCCGCCAUAGAGAGUGAAAGCCUCGUACACGAAAUCAUGAACACACCUAGCAGUAUCCGGAGUACCACGAGACACGAGAAACCUUGUGGGAAGGCGGAGGGACCACCCUCCAAGGCUAAAUACUACUCAGUGACCGAUAGAGCAUAGUACUGUGAAGGAAAGGUGAAAAGAACCCCGGGAGGGGAGUGAAAGAGAACCUGAAACCCUGUGUUUACAAGCUGCGGAACUACAUUUUAGGUAGAACCGCGUACUUUUUGUAGAACGGUCCGGCGAGUUUCUUUUACUGGCAAGGUUAAGUACUUAAGGUACGGAGCCGAAGUGAAAGCAAGUGUUAACAGCACGUCUAGUCAGUAGAAGAAGACCCGAAACCGGGUGAUCUACCCAUGUCCAGGUUGAAGUUGCCGUAAAAGGCAAUGGAGGACCGAACGCACAUCCGUUGAAAAGGGUGGCGAUGAGGUGUGGGUAGGGGAGAAAUUCCAAUCGAACCCGGAGAUAGCUGGUUCUCCUCGAAAUAGCUUUAGGGCUAGCCUCGUAUUAGUCUUGCGGAGGUAGAGCACUGAAUAUCCUAGGGGGCGUCAAAGCUUACCGAAGAUUAUCAAACUCCGAAUGCCGCGUAGAUGAUGUACGGGAGUCAGACUGCACGAGAUAAGUUGGGUAGUCAAAAGGGAAAGAGCCCAGACCAUCAGCUAAGGUCCCAAAGUGUGUGUUAAGUGGUAAAGGAUGUGGGAUUUCGAAGACAACUAGGAUGUUGGCUCAGAAGCAGCCAUACAUUCAAAGAGUGCGUAAUAGCUCACUAGUCGAGAGGUCCUGCGCCGAAAAUGUCCGGGGCUAAAACACACCACCGAAGCUAUGGAAUGUAUAAAUACAUUGGUAGAGGAGCAUUGUUACAGAGACGAAGCUGUACUGAAAAGAGCAGUGGAUCUGUAAGAAGAGAGAAUGCCGGAAUGAGUAGCGAGAUUUAAGUGAGAAUCUUAAAGGCCGAAUAUCUAAGGUUUCCAGGGUAAAGCUGAUCUUCCCUGGGUAAGUCGGGGCCUAAGGCGAGGACGAAAGUCGUAGUCGAUGGAUAACAGGUUGAAAUUCCUGUACCGCAUAUAAACAGAACUGUGGGGACGCAGAGAGAAAGCCAGAGCCGGAAAUGGAAAAGCCGGUACAAGCGAGGUAUCCGAGUGACAGGCAAAUCCGUCACUUAAGGAGAAUACGUGAUGUGGAUCGAACUAGAGUAGAGAAGCUGGUGAGCUAGCUGCCAAGAAAAGCCGCUAUUGUUUUAUAUGUGCCCGUACCGUAAACCGACACAGGUGGAUGAGGAGAGAAUCCUAAGGCCGGCGGGAGAAGUGUUGUUAAGGAACUCGGCAAAAUGACUCCGUAACUUCGGGAGAAGGAGUGCCACAGAGAUGUGGCCGCAGAGAAAUGGCCCAAGCAACUGUUUAGCAAAAACACAGGUCUAUGCAAAACCGAAAGGUGAGGUAUAUGGGCUGACGCCUGCCCGGUGCUGGAAGGUUAAGAGGAGAGCUUAGCGCAAGCGAAGGUUUGAAUUUAAGCCCCAGUAAACGGCGGCCGUAACUAUAACGGUCCUAAGGUAGCGAAAUUCCUUGUCGGGUAAGUUCCGACCCGCACGAAAGGCGUAAUGAUUUGGGCACUGUCUCAACAACACACCCGGUGAAAUUGAAAUACCAGUGAAGAUGCUGGUUACCUGCGCCAGGACGGAAAGACCCCAUGGAGCUUUACUCCAGUUUGAUACUGGGAUUCGGUACUGUCUGUACAGGAUAGGUGGGAAGCUAGGAAAUGAUGACGCCAGUUGUCAUGGAGCUGACCUUGGGAUACCACCCUUACAGUACUGGGUUUCUAACCUGCGGCCGUAAACCGGCCGGGGGACAAUGUCUGACGGGGAGUUUGACUGGGGCGGUCGCCUCCGAAAGAGUAUCGGAGGCGCUCAAAGGUUCCCUCAGAACGGUUGGAAACCGUUCGAAGAGUGCAAAGGCAGAAGGGAGCUUGACUGCGACACCGACGGGUGGAGCAGGUACGAAAGUAGGACUUAGUGAUCCGGUGGUAUAAAGUGGGAUUGCCAUCGCUCAACGGAUAAAAGCUACC
rnacentral:rRNA from 1 species